rnacentral:piRNA from 1 species
GAAUUUAUCUUUUCAGUAUUGGGCUUUUA